GCGAACGUGGCGGAAUAGGUAGACGCACUAGACUCGGGUUUUAGUGGCCGUAAGGCCGUGGGGGUUCGAAUCCCCCCGUUCGCACCA
rnacentral:tRNA from 1 species